CAUAGCGACUAUCGUAGCAUAUCAAUAAGCGGAGGAAAAGAAACUAACAAGGAUUCCCCUAGUAACGGCGAGUGAAGCGGGAAGAGCUCAAAUUUGAAAUCUUAAAGGGUUUCCCUUUACGAAUUGUAGUUUAAAGAAGUGUUUUCUGUUGGAGUUUCGGUAAAAGUUCUUUGGAAUAGGACAUCAUAGAGGGUGAGAAUCCCGUAUUUGACCGUUACUUUCCAGCUGUGUGAUACACUUUCAAAGAGUCGGAUUGUUUGGGAAUGCAGUCCAAGAUGGGUGGUAAAUUUCAUCUAAAGCUAAAUAUUGGCGAGAGACCGAUAGCGAACAAGUACCGUGAGGGAAAGAUGAAAAGAACUUUGAAAAGAGAGUUAAACAGUACGUGAAAUUGUCAAAAGGGAAGCGUUUGACACCAGUGUUGUUUAGUUGAAAAUCAAUUCAAUAGUUUUUGAUUCUAAGUAGUAUUGACUUCAUCAGCUUGCUGCUUUCUUCUCAGAAAUUAUUGAAUGCACUUUUCAGUUAACAAGUCAACAUCAAUUUCUUUUGUUGUAAAAGGGUAAGAGGAAGGUGGCUUGCGCUUCGGCUCAAGUGUUUAUAGCCUUUUAUCUCUGCAAUCGGAGAGAUUGAGGUCUGCAGCGUAGAUCCUUCGGGGUUAGAUACAUUGGUGCUAAGCUAUAGCCUUGUAUAGACAACUUGUUGACUAUGCUCAGUCAUGUAGCUUACUCGCUGAUGCUAUUUUACCUACGCUUAGGAUGUUGACGCGCGUGUGUGCGUG
rnacentral:rRNA from 1 species